AGGAGAGAGAGAGAGAGAAAGCAGCCUCAUCUAGCAGCAUUACCUUGCCAUUCAUUUCCUUCAAGGCCGCGCUCGCUGCUUCCUCUUGUUGUGUUCUCGAUAAAUCCAUAGCCCUUCGACCUUCCGUGAUAAUUUUGAUUAUCGGGAGGAAAUGCAAAGUAAUAAACAGAUGAACCUCAAAAAUACAAAUGUGUGCGGAUUCUUUGGCUAGAGACAUUGAGAUAUCACAAAAAUCAUCCAAUAUAAAGCCACAAAAUUAUGGACAACAAAUUAUGGUGGGAUGAUCUUUAAAACAAUUGUAAAACUCCAUUACACUCUCUUUUAAAAUAUAUCUUAAAUCUAGUGAAAUUAUCUCUCAUUAUGUUCACGGGAGGCCAAUAUGGAGUCUGGCAAGAGAGAGAAGGGGCAAGGGAGAGUCACG
rnacentral:lncRNA from 1 species